AGGCACACAUUGAAGCGGUGUAGUUUUGUGGCACCUCCCUUUCCACCUCCUCUCUCGUCAUCUGCUGUGCGCACACCCGCUCACUUAACAGUAUUGUCCACCCCACACGCACACAGAUUUCGGCUGUUUUUCAACGUCAGCGUCGCAAACACGGCCAGCGCAAGUGGCACACGAGCAGCGGCCUCACUCCGCCUCUCGCCGACCCUCUCCUCUCUUCCCAGUUACCAGCGCCACUUGACCAUCACUCAUCAUACACGUGAUCGGCUUGCUGCGCGCGCGCUCCCUAUACACACAUACGUGUAUACGUAUUUGCUUUUCUCGUGGUUGGAGCGAAGAACACAGCGAGGGCAAGAAUACGAAAACAAAGCCGCACAACGGUAAGGGUGACAUCAAAAGGAAGCGACCACACAAGGGGAGCGCACCUAGGCCUCCUCAGAGGGAGCGGCGAAGGGGAGGAGGGGGGCUAUAGGAACUCUAUGACCCACGCCACUUCUCUCUUGCACGUUUGCUCUCCUCUUUUCCCUCUCUGCGCCUACCUGUCUGCACCGCUUCGCACGCACACCACGAGCACGCAGACACACGCAUCUUUUUUUUUUUUUUGCACGCUGAGACACGAGUGGCACGGCACUUGCGCCCUUGCUGCGUUUCUCGCGUGCAAGCAACUCUGUAGGCGCCCUCAUUGCAUGUGUGAGUCUUCCCUGAGCCUCCUUCCUUCUCCCCGCCCCGCCCUUCCCCGCGGCAGGCCGACCUUGGGCGUUCGCUUCCCUCUCGCUUUGGCAGCUCCACCUCUCGCGCUCAUUUUGUUGCUUUCAUCUCUGCUCCUCGCCUCUGUUGUUGUCGUUGCCCCUCUUUGUUCUCUCCCAUUUCCAGCAUAUUUGUAGCGCCUCGCUCGCUCUCUCUGUCUCUCUCGCUUUCCCAUCACCGCGAUCGCACGCUUCACCCGCACCGUAAUUUCGAGUGUUGAGGGCGGUCUUGCUUUCGACACGCGCACAGGGCGGUGGUGAUCCAGUGUUGAGUGUCUGCCUUCUUUGUGUCUCUGUGGCCUGUCUGCGUCGACUCGAAGUUUCUGCGCGGCACUGCUUAUCUCACUUUUCUCCCUUAUUUUUCUUCGUUCACUGUAUUCCUGUUCAGCCUUGGCAGUGUGCGUUGCGCUGGUCUUUGUAGAUGGGUGUCUGCUCUUUCCCUCCUCCUUUUCCCCUAUUUCUUCCGAUCUCGCCAGCGUCACUUGUGAGCACCUCUUUAUACGCCGCGCUUCCGCUCUUUUCAUAUGCGCGCCCACCGGCACACAACCGCCUGUGCAGGAAUGGUGGGUGGAGGUGACUCGAACCUCAAUGAGCUGAGCCCCAUGCUACCGCAUGGGACUUGGCUACGCAUGUCGCACUCGCACGCCGCCUUUGACACCGAGUUGAACCGCUCCAUCGGCAGCAACGUGCGGCGGGCAAACAGUGUUCCCGUGCUCACGCGGCGCGACCGACGCCUCCUGACUGUGUCGCCGAUGUUAUUCGAUCGCUACUACAUGGCUGAAGGCGGUGGUUUGAUUUCGAGCGCGUUUAAUCUUGCAUCUGCCACAUGUGGCGCCGGUGUGCUCGCGUUGCCGUAUGCGAUGCAGCACUGCGGAACCGUAACAGGCACCCUCACUCUCAUUUUCGUCUGCAACCUUACCAUCUACAGCGUGUUCCUCCUGGCGAAGGUUAGCGCGUUGACGAAGCUCAUGUCAUAUGAGGAACUCGCCAUCGAUCUUGUCGGCCCCAUCACAGAGAAAGUGACGGCCGCGAUCAUUGUCGUCUUCUGCUGGGGUGUGGCUGUCAUGUACAUUGUGAUGAUGGGUGACUUUAUCGUGCCGCUCUUUGAAGCCGUUGGUCUGUCCCACAAGGUCCAUCGCCGCACCGCCAUGGUGCUCUUCUGGGCACUCGUUAUGUUUCCUUUGUCGAUGGCUCGCAAGGUCCAGACGCUGCGCUACGCCUCCAUCGUCGGCACCGUAUCCAUCUUCCUGCUCGCCGGCGCCCUCGUGGAUCGCUUUGCGCAGGACAGAAGAGAGGACGCAAACAGCACGGGGCUGGACCCCGGGAGGCAUACUCCCCCGCGUGCGCCGCUGGCUCGCUGGGACUCCGGGAUGAUCGGUGCUCUCACCACGUUUGUGUUCAGCUACUGCUGCCAGCCGGUGGCACCAAGGAUCUACGAGGAACUCAAAGACCGCUCAGUGAAGCGGAUGUGCGUGUGCACGGUGUGCUCCAUGACCGCGGCCACCGUCAUUUACAUUCUCACCGGCGUCUUUGGUGCCAUGAGUUUCGGCGACUCGGUGAAGCCAAACGUGCUGGUGAACUUUUCGAACCACCUUGAUUCUCGCCCAGCGCAACUUGCGUACUUCGGCAUUGUUGUCUCCCUCACGAUGGCGUUUCCCAUGACGAUCUUUCCAACGCGCGACUCGGUGGUCAUGGCGAUGGGCUACCAUGCGGAGGAGAACCCCGCGCCGGUAUGGCUGUCCAGAACCAUCGCGGGCCUCCUCGCCCUGCUGGCGCUGCUCAUUGGUAUUGCUUUGCCGAACAUCCGCGUCCUUUUCGACGUCCUCGGCGGCGUGUGCGGCGGGUCCCUCUCCUUCUUGCUCCCCGCUCUCUUCGCGCUGCGCUCCGGCUACUGGACGACGGCGGAGGUGGGGUGGCGACAUAUGGCGUUGACAUGGCUGACGCUCGCGUUUGGCGUCGUGGUGUGCGGCUUGGGCACGUACAACUCCGUGAAAUCGAAUUUCUUUUAAGUGGGCCAGGGCACGCUUCCGACAUGGGCCACGAGCGGACGCGGGUGAGGGCAGUGCUUGGUGGGUGCCUCUCGUUGUCGUUACAACUCCUCUGUCCAUAUGUGUAUCUUGUGCGUUGGUACUCCCGCCUUCCUCCCCUUUUCUCUGUCGCCGUCGCCGGUGUCUUUCGGCCUCACUCUCACUUCUAUGCCUUGCCCCGUUACCUCGCCUGCACCCCGCGUGCGCCAUCACCGAUGCGUGCUUGUGCUCUCCCCCCUAUCGGCCAUGUGUAUCUCUCGGUGGUGACGGCGCCCUCUCACUAAAGUGCUGUGCUGUGCUUAGAUCGGAAGCAACCUGCCCCCUACCGCGCACACACCUUUAGAUGUGCGCCGGCGGAUAAUGUGUGCAGAGAGGGCAGAAGCGAGGGCGCGCCAAUGUGUUAGGGAUCGUGAAGAGCACAGAUGAAGUAGGGUGAGGAGGACAAGUGGGCUUCGGCGGAGGAAGGAAAUGAGACAAGAGACGGAAGGCCCAGACCCUCUUCUGCGCGAUCAUCGAUAGGGGCGCGGCGGGCGAAAACCGAGGCACAAUCAACGAAGAAUACACACACACACACAAGUGAGCACGGCCAACAGGGAGGGAGGCAUGUAUGGGCGGAAAAAUAAAUACUUUUGGCCGCGACACCAGCCAUCAAUGUGGCCGCGUCACUCGCGAUAGG
rnacentral:misc_RNA from 1 species